AAAGAGUUUAAUUCAAGGACUAAUAAAUUAUAAAAUACAUAGUAAGAAAUAGUAAAACAACAAUGACUUACCAUUCAAUAACUUUUUUCCAAGUACUUUAAGGAUAUGAGGAUGCAAUUAUACCUGGAGUAAUUUAAAAGUUUCUAAGUCAAGAUCAGUAUGAUACCAAUUCUCUGCCUGGUAGUCGAGACAAUCUAAUUGAAAAUCAAGCGCAAGUAACUUAGCCAUUUGCCGCUGAAUGCAUCCAAUUAUAUUAAAUCCCCUUAAGUUUGAGCUGUUAAGUUUAUUCCUGUCCUCAAGGCUUCUUCUGUUUUCUAAACUUUCUCUGCUAGCAACCAUCUCACAUUAGAUUUGGCAAAUAAGAAUAGCUUUCAACUUUUCAACUAGGACAAUUAAAUACAAAGUUGAUGCUAUAAGUAUUAGUACUACUUGUUAUGUUCAUAUUCACGCAGUCAAGUAAAGCUAGAGUUUUCUCUUUAGGGUCUGCUACGUCACUUUCCUGGAAUUAAAUUCAAGAACAGCAAAGCAACCGAGAAUGUGUGUGUGUGCAGCAUAAUUAUACUCUGAUGAAACAAGAUUGUAGUGCAGCAUAAAACUAAUUUUCUGUUUGUAAUUAAUAAAGAAAUCAAGCUAAACAUAAAACUAACCUCAAGGAGCAGCGGCUAAGUCGAGAACAGACCGGAAGAGCAGUGCACGUGCUGCCCUCCGAUUGAAGCAGCUAAUUCUGCUCCUGCCUCGUCUGGUGUACAGCCAGAGCAGCGUGGCAGCGACCGGAGAAAGCUUGACAGCAGCGUCGUUUCUGGAGUACAGCAGCAGCUCAAAGCAGCGGCGAAGUAUGGCGCUAAGGGGAUCAGAAAAACACUCAGAGUAGCGUCGUUUUCCGUUGCUUUACAAACAAAUAAUUAUACUCGGAUGAAACAAN
rnacentral:lncRNA from 1 species